UGCUGGGAUUGUCGGCGUUCAUGCAGCUCUCUCCUGUCUCCAUGUUGCACCAAACCUGGAUGGCGUCCGACUUGGAGCCCUCGUUGGGGUCAAUCCAGUACAGGCCUGGUGGGACAGGAGGGCACCGUUACGCCACAGCAGGGGCGACAAUGCCACGUGUGGAAUAUUUGAAUGGUGUUGAUGGAGUGCAGAUGUGGGGGCACUCACGGCGGCACCAGCUUCUCCGUUGCGUCCACGGGGGCCGGCAGGACCGAGAGGACCAGGAGCACCAUUGGCACCAUCCUUACCGUGGGAACCAGCGCCACCAACGGGACCCUGCAGGACGCAUGUGCAGAGGCACGCACAUCCUCAACAAACAUCGCCAGGGGCUGCGAUUCCUGAUGGCCUCUCUGAAUAUCAGCAACACAACAGUGGCAUUGACCCAGCACGAUCUCGGUGGUGAGAUGAGCGUUGUCGAAGUGCUGCCACCCCUGGUUAGGUGAGAGUCGUCCUCUCGUGAUGCCGGUGCCGACGGCUGCCCCCCCGCUUCCCAGUAGCAUAAUUCAGCAGGCCCCUCUUUAGAGGCUGAGCUUGACUCCAGUGGCAAGUCCACUACACUACAGCUCCUCCUGGCAUGACAUCAACCUCUCUGCUCUAGAGCCCUUCCUGCACUAACUUAGCCCCUUUAAGCUGGCCAAACAAAAAGUGCCUGUCGGCAACGUCACUCUGUUGUUUAGACAUUCACAUUUACUUUAUUGGUCCUUCGAGUUCAUCAAUUCGGAGGAUUCUCCUAUUUACACGAUUCUAAAACGGGAGACCUCGCUGCUGCAUCUCAGCGUGCACUCACCCUCGCUCCAGCAGGGCCCGCGGGGCCGGGCGUGCCGCUCUCUCCGCUCAAGCCCUGGUCGGGAGGAGGAGGUUGCACACAGACACGAGUGGUUAGUUCCUUUGGUGGUGCGUUUACUCACAAGACCGUUCACCGCGGCGGCGGUGACGGUGCGGACUUGGCGGCACGCGGCACGACGGCAGAGCGACUCCCUGCCGGUGAGACGCGGUGGCCACGGCACGUGGUGCGGCACGCGGCGAAAACCGAAGAGGAACGUCGAAAAACAAUGUUGGGAAAACUACAGCCGGUCGGUGCGUUCCGGCCGUGCGGAACGCAGCUAUGGUCGUGCCGAGACGGACAGCCAUUCAGUGUGGAGGGGUCUGGAAUGGACGCUGCUGGUAACGAUGACAUAGGUGGUGCCAAUUACAGAUACGUAGAGGAAACAUUCUGGUCAAUGUACUUGCUUGAUCUUGAAAAAAGGAUAAUGAAUAUGGACAUCAUGACAUGAGCGAUCACCAUUAUUGAAGCCUAAUAUAUGAUGAUGAUGA